GUCCACGCUGUAAACGAUGAAUACUAGGUGUAGGGGUAUUAACGCUCUCUGUGCCGCAGCAAACGCAAUAAGUAUUCCGCCUGGGGAGUACGGCCGCAAGGUUGAAACUCAAAGGAAUUGACGGGGGCCCGCACAAGCAGCGGAGCAUGUGGUUUAAUUCGAAGCAACGCGAAGAACCUUACCAAGGCUUGACAUCCAAUUAAAGCUGUGGAAACACAGUGUUCCUUCGGGAGAAUUGAGACAGGUGGUGCAUGGUUGUCGU
rnacentral:rRNA from 1 species